UUCGCAAUGCCCGAAAGGGUGACGAAGCGACGCCGCGUGCGGGAAGAAGGCCUUCGGGUUGUAAACCGCUGUCGGGAGUUAGGAAAUGCAAGGAUGUUAAUAGCAUUCUUGCUUGACUAAGGCUCCGGAGGAAGCCACGGCUAACUCUGUGCCAGCAGCCGCGGUAAUACAGAGGCGGCAAGCGUUGUUCGGAAUUAUUGGGCGUAAAGAGCACGUAGGCGGCUGUGUAAGUCGGUUGUGAAAGCCUUCCGCUUAACGGAAGAACGGCAUCCGAUACUGCAUAGCUUGAGUGCGGGAGGGGAGAGUGGAACUUCUGGUGGAGCGGUGAAAUGCGUAGAUAUCAGAAGGAACGCCGGCGGCGAAAGCGACUCUCUGGUCCGAAACUGACGCUGAGUGUGCGAAAGCUAGGGGAGCAAACGGGAUUAGAUACCCCGGUAGUCCUAGCCGUAAACGAUGGGCACUAAGUAGAGGGGUUUU
rnacentral:rRNA from 1 species